GCCCGGAUGGCGAAACUGGUAGACGCACCGGACUUAAAAUCCGUUGGCCGCAAGGCCGUGCCGGUUCGAUUCCGGCUCCGGGCA
rnacentral:tRNA from 1 species